CUAGCACGAAGUCAGACAAGUGAACCCGCUGAAUUUAA
rnacentral:rRNA from 1 species